rnacentral:rRNA from 1 species
UAACGCGUGAGUAACCUGCCUUUCAGAGGGGGAUAACGUUCUGAAAAGAAACGCUAAUACCGCAUAAGAUUGUAGUUUCGCAUGGAGCAGCAAUCAAAGGAGCAAUCCGCUGAAAGAUGGACUCGCGUCCGAUUAGAUAGUUGGCGGGGUAACGGCCCACCAAGUCGACGAUCGGUAGCCGGACUGAGAGGUUGAUCGGCCACAUUGGGACUGAGACACGGCCCAG